GCAGCAGGCGCGAAACUUACCCACUCGAGACUUUCGGAGGAGGUAAUGACCAGUUUCAUGUGAAGCUUAUGCUUCUGUGAAUAGGAUCACACUUUUCCAGUGUGGUGAAACCUAGCAGAGGGCCAGUCUGGUGCCAGCAGCUGCGGUAAUUCCAGCUCUGCGAGUUUGCUCCCAUAUUGUUGCAGUUAAAACGCCCGUAGUCGGAAUUGGACAGCAAUGUCCCUACGUUUCAACGUUCACUGUGAACAAAUCAGGACGCUUAGAGUAUGGUAACAAGAAUGACUCAGCGCAGUAUGAGGUCUUUGUUUCUUUCGGGAAACAAGCUCAAUGAGAGCCAUCGGGGGUGGAUCUAUUUCAUGGCGAGUGGUGGAAUACUUUGACCCAUGAGAGAGACACGGAGGCGAAGGCGUCCACCUAGAGGAUUUCUGUCGAUCAAGGGCGAGAGUAGGAGUAUCCAACCGGAUUAGAGACCCGGGUAGUUCCUACUGUAAACGAUGCCGACAGAGGUUUGUCAUUUUAUAAUGGCAGAACUUUUAGAGAAAUCAUAGUUCUUGGGCUCUGGGGGAACUACGACCGCAAGGCUGAAACUUGAAGGAAUUGACGGAAGGGCACACCAGGGGUGGAGCCUGUGGCUUAAUUUGAAUCAACACGGGGAAACUUACCAGGACCAGAUGCUUUUUAUGACUGACAGGCUUCGGGUCUUUCAGGAUAUUGCUUUUGGUGGUGCAUGGCCGUUGGCGGUGCGUGGGUUGACCUGUCUAGCGUUGAUUCAGCUAACGAGCGAGAUUAUCGCCAAUUAUAUACCUCGCAUUGGCUUCAGUGUUGAGGUUCUAAUUGGGACUCCCCGCGAUUUUAGCAGGCGGAAGAGGGUAGCAAUAACAGGUCCGUGAUGUCC
rnacentral:rRNA from 1 species